rnacentral:rRNA from 1 species
GAUGAACGCUGGCGGCGUGCCUAAUACAUGCAAGUCGAGCGAACAGACGAGGAGCUUGCUCCUCUGACGUUAGCGGCGGACGGGUGAGUAACACGUGGAUAACCUACCUAUAAGACUGGGAUAACUUCGGGAAACCGGAGCUAAUACCGGAUAAUAUAUUGAACCGCAUGGUUCAAUAGUGAAAGACGGUUUUGCUGUAACUUAUAGAUGGAUCCGCGCCGCAUUAGCUAGUUGGUAAGGUAACGGCUUACCAAGGCAACGAUGCGUAGCCGACCUGAGAGGGUGAGCGGCAACACUGGAACUGAGACACGGUCCAGACUCCUACGGGAGGCAGCAGUAGGGAAUCUUCCGCAAUGGGCGAAAGCCUGACGGAGCAACGCCGCGUGAGUGAUGAAGGUCUUCGGAUCGUAAAACUCUGUUAUUAGGGAAGAACAAAUGUGUAAGUAACUAUGCACGUCUUGACGGUACCUAAUCAGAAAGCCACGGCUAACUACGUG